rnacentral:rRNA from 1 species
GAUGAACGCUAGCGGCGUGCCUAAUACAUGCAAGUCGAGCGAACAGAUGAGGAGCUUGCUCCUCUGACGUUAGCGGCGGACGGGUGAGUAACACGUGGAUAACCUACCUAUAAGACUGGGAUAACUUCGGGAAACCGGAGCUAAUACCGGAUAAUAUAUUGAACCGCAUGGUUCAAUAGUGAAAGACGGUUUUGCUGUCACUUAUAGAUGGAUCCGCGCCGCAUUAGCUAGUUGGUAAGGUAACGGCUUACCAAGGCAACGAUGCGUAGCCGACCUGAGAGGGUGAUCGGCCACACUGGAACUGAGACACGGUCCAGACUCCUACGGGAGGCAGCAGUAGGGAAUCUUCCGCAAUGGGCGAAAGCCUGACGGAGCAACGCCGCGUGAGUGAUGAAGGUCUUCGGAUCGUAAAACUCUGUUAUUAGGGAAGAACAAAUGUGUAAGUAACUAUGCACGUCUUGACGGUACCUAAUCAGAAAGCCACGGCUAACUACGUG